GGCCUCGCAUCCGAAUAUGGCGAAUCCUAACCAGUUGAGUGCGUAACGCGUAUCACGCCCGUCGUUGCUGCCUAUGGAUCCGCGCACUGUGGCCCACUGGGUCCCAGCCAAAGGUCCACUUAAUUUCAGUUCCCACCGCUAUACGGGUGAAAUACAGUCAAAUCGUACCUGUGCAAAUCCCAUACGGCCGUACGUAAGCCACCCGUGAGACCCGUAGCUACACCACCACCACCACCCAUCGCCACCAUCACUCCAUCGGAUUUCAAAUUUUGAAUCCCCUCAGCCAGAUUCUGCUUCUCUCCCCGGUGACCCACUUGCGACGCCCCAUCGCACAAACGCCGUCGGGACUGACUUCGUCGCCGGUCUCAAGUUCGCCGCCAUCCAAAACAAUCAAUCCUCAUGGGGAAUCUCUCACAGAUCUGUUAUUCAGCUUUCGCUCCGCUCCCUCCGAUCCGGUCUACGUUCCAGUCUAGGGAACGCCAGAGGAAGAUGAAUGUUGGUCGCCAACAAGGCACUCCGGUGCUCCUUCAUCGUUAGAGGAUUGGGCUCCUUCCCCGUCUAGCCACGGACAAGUGAAGUGCCUGAGUCAAAUUCAGAUGUCUCGUCUACUCCGUGGAUUGCAAGAAAAAAGGAUUUGGAAUUAAGUACGGUGAAUGUGGACGAAACGUCCACAAAUGCAAGCCUGCCCAGAACAUAAUUUGCGGAUGCGCGUGAGUUAGUUUCAUACGACAUCGACAGUCACAGAGAACCGUCCUCUGAAUCGCAACGCACUCCAGCUCCGUGGUAGGCAAGGUACUAUCUCGCCGUCGCAUUCCUGGUUGUCGUCGUGAAUGCCUUCUUUCUCCCCGCAAAUAGAUGUGUCACAUUCAGUGAACUAGGCGUGUGCUUUCAGUAAAAUAGUUGGCUGGACCCAAAUUUUUCAAGCUUUGUCAGUUCGAAAUUAGCAUGGUCACAGUAAUUAAGAAAAUAGUUGGCUGGCCGGUGUUGUAUGUAAAAUAAUAGUAUGGAUUAAGAUUAUUUAAGCAUUGUCAGUUGAAUCUUAUCAUUGGCAUUGACAUGUAAAUUAAGAAAAUUUUAAUCGUGAUCAGUUAUUGCUGUCAAAAGUUUGAUACUUCUGAGCAGAUUGUUGUUAUUGCGGAAUAGUCAGAUAAAAUUCAUGAUCAUUGGCAGCAACAUACGAAUUUGCAUAGCAUGUGCCUGUUAUGUUACAAAAUCUGACGUUUAUCACUGAUCAUAAAUCUAUAGUUUGCAAACGGUACAGGAUUCGUAUCUCUAAUUAUGUCCAGGAAUCAUUCAACUAGGCUCUUGGUUACAGUCAAACAUAUACAGUGAGACAUUGACAUGUAAGCAUUUAUAUAAUCAAUUUGAUGUAGGCAUAUAUAUAGUCAUUUAACUAGGCUCUUGGUUACAGUCAAAUUGAUGUAGACAUUGACAUGUACAGUAAGAUAAAUUUAAGAGCAUCCAGGAGCUCUCCCAUCUAUGUGUUCAUUUUAUCUUGCUUUUUUGCCACCUCAAUCUAGGCCAUGAUGAUGCGUUGAUUUGCUGUCGUAUUUCUCUGGUGCCCUCUAUCUGAACUAUAUUUUCUUCCUUCUUCCUUUUUGUCCAGUGAGAUGCCCUGACGAGAGGAUUCUGUUUGUUGGUAAAUCCGCAAAUGUUCCUGUUAAUUUUCUGAAUAAAUAUCUCAUCUCUGUUUUGCUACAGGUCAUAUCCAUGUGCUGGAGACAAUGGGUUUAAGAAAGCCCCCGUCUUGCUGCUGCUCAAGCAAACAGUGCGCCUGCCGGAGCUGUUGGAAGAGCACCUGACCAAGCCCGUUCUCCCUUCUCUAUUCUUCUUUGUCUUUUUUGUGUGUAUUUUGCUCUUUGUUUUGAUUUGUAUGGUUCUGAAUUAAAAGAGAGCUUUUUUGGUUGUAGAUCAUGAGGCUAUGCCUUGGUUCCAUGUGCUUAUGCCGAUCUGAACUUUGUUCCUGUUCAGAAGUGAAUAAUUGUUUCGAAUUCACGAUAUUGUCCAUGUUCAAAAAAAAUCAGAUAGUGAACAUUACAAGAA